GCCAGGCGUGGUGGCGCACACCUGUAAUCCCAGCUACUCAGGAGGCUGAGGCAGGAGAAUCACUUGAAUCCAGGAGGCAGAGGUUGUAGUGAGCCGAGAUUGUGCCACUGCACUCCUGCCUGGGCAACAGAGUGAGACUCUGUCUCAA
rnacentral:SRP_RNA from 1 species